rnacentral:rRNA from 1 species
GAGGAAUUUUGGACAAUGAGCGAAAGCUUGAUCCAGCAAUACCGCAUGUGUGAAGAAGGUUUACUGUAAAGCACUUUUUUAAAGGAAUAAACUAUUUGAAUGUACUUUAAGAAUAAGCACCGGCUAAUUACGUGCCAGCAGCCGCGGUAAUACGUAAGGUGCAAGCGUUAAUCGGUUUUAUUAGGCGUAAAGGGUGUGUAGGUGGAUUAUUAUGAAGAAUGUAAAAUAAUAGUUCUCAAAGCUAUAAAGCAUUCUUUACUAUUAAUCUUGAGUUUUAGUAGAGAGAACAGAAUUCUACAUGUAACGGUGAAAUGUGUAAAUAUGUAGAGGAAUACCAAAAGCGAAGGCAGUUCUCUUACUUCUUCUGACACUGAUACACUAAAGCGUGGGGAGCAAACAGGAUUAGAUACCCUGGUAGUCCACGCCCUAAACUAUGUCAACUAACCAAUAGAUCUAAGGGUGUAGCAAACGCGUAAAGUUGACCGCCUGGGGACUACGAUCGCAAGAUUAAAACUCAAAGGAAUUGACGGGGACCCGUACAAGCGGUGGAUGAUGUGGAUUAAUUCGAUGCAACACGAAAAACCUUACCUACCCUUGACAUGUAUAGAAUCUAAUUGAAAAAUUAGAGUGCCUAUAACACAGGUGCUGCAUGGCUGUCGUCAGUUCGUGUCGUGAGAUGUUGGGUUAAGUCCUAUAACGAACGAAACCCUCAUUUUAAAUUACUAAAGAACUUUUAAAAGACUGCCAAUUAAAAAUUGGAGGAAGGAGAGGAUGACGUCAAGUCCUCAUGGCCCUUAUGGGUAGGGCUUCACACGUCAUACAAUGGUUAAUACAAAAAGAUGCAAUCCUGUAAAGGGGAGCUAAACUUUAAAAUUAACCCUAGUUCGGAUUGUGCUCUGAAACUCGAGCACAUGAAGUAGGAAUCGCUAGUAAUCGUAGAUUAGAAUGCUACGGUGAAUACGUUCUCGGGUC